GGGAAGGUAGGGGAGUGACGUCAAAUCAUCAUGCCCCUUAUGACCUGGGCUACACACGUGCUACAAUGGGCGGUACAAAGGGUCGCGAACCCGCGAGGGGGAGCCAAUCCCAAAAAGCCGCUCUCAGUUCGGAUUGCAGGCUGCAACUCGCCUGCAUGAAGCCGGAAUCGCUAGUAAUCGCGGAUCAGCAUGCCGCGGUGAAUACGUUCCCGGGCCUU
rnacentral:rRNA from 1 species